UUGCUCGUGGUGGGGCAGCUGCACUGCUCCCACCACUUCAGGGACACCACUCACGAGCGCCGCCUUCUUUGAUUGUUGUUGUUCACACUCCAAAACAUUGUCCAGUUUGCGCUUACCGCCGUCACUAUCAAUGGCCUCCUCUAUCUCAAUAGGCAAAUUGGCUACACCCUUCUUCCUACUGCCUGCCACCUUUAACAUUCUUCGACCUCCUUUUUUAUCAUUCCCUUCCAUCUUGCCCUGAACGCUACCCACUUGGAAUAACAUCGCAGUAGAUAAGUCUGCAGUCCCCAUAACCUGUGUAGAGCCUCCAUUAUCUCCGCCACUUUUCCUUCCAUCCUGGCUGUUAUUUUCACUCCCCGUAAAGGUAUAUUGCAGCAACUGGCCCAUUUGCUUAACUCCAUGGUUGGCUCCACCCAUCACUGCUGGUUGGGUCUCCAUCCUCACAACCAGUGUUUUCAAAGGCGUCGCCGAGGCGAGCCCGGGGCGCGCUUCAGUGUGAGGCGACCGGAAAAAUCCUCGCCGGUUCAAACUUGAACGUGCUGCUGUAAAAGCGGCCGCUGAGGCGAUGGAGCGUCGCUUUUUGCAGAGGCGGAGCCUCAGGGCAGAGCGCGAGGAAGAAGACGACGCAAGGGAUUUUAUUUAUUUUUUUUUUUUUUUACUUUCUGUCAAAAUGACGUCGUUUUUUGAUUAAUUUUGGUUCCCCUCCUAGAACGACGUCGUCUUGUUUGUAGAUCUGUUUAACAACCCCAAAACGUAGUCGGCAUACGAGGUCCAGAAAGGUAGAGAAGAAGGAAAAUAACCGCCGCUGUGAGAAAAAGAAAAGAAAAAACUAGAGAACGCGCUUGGUGCUUCGACGGCUUGUGAUGUUCCGUCCAGUGGCGCGUCGUUAUGACGUCGCCGUCGGCCGGGCCUGUACGGCAGGUAGGUUCGCUGGAGGGUUUGGGCUACGCGUAAUGGUUGGUACUGAUCUUCUCAGACUCGGGCUCGGAUAGCAAUUGUGCUUAGACUCAGAUUCAUGCUUGAUGGCUGAUCACCGGCGAGUGGGUCGAUGGUUGCCAGACUGGAAGUCAUCUGCAAUGUUGUUCCUCGUCGUUACGAAGGAUAUGUGGAGAGAUGAUGGGUGGAUGAGCCAACAGAUGAAGUAGCUUUCCAAAGAAGUUUAUUCAUAUGGGUGCGUUCAUGUGAUCGAACAGAGGCUUAACAAAAGCUGAUGUAUCAUCUGAAGCACCACCCCACCACCAGCAGCCAGAUUAAAAAGAGAACAGAAAAAACAAGAAACAAAAGACCUACAAUUGUAGAGAGAUGGUGAUUGGUGGCCCGUGACGAAGAUACUGUUGCUGGUGAUGAGCCUCCUCAGCUAGUUCGACUCAUUGAAUCGAUCAACAAUAGUACAUACCACCAGAUAUCGUUGCCACGAUUGUGACGAAGACCCAUUAUCGUGCCUAAUUAGCUAGACAGGCUACUUCAAACAGAGUUCGUAUCGAGAAGUGAUCAUGCCGGCCGGAAGAAUUAAGCUAGCAAUACAUGCAUUGUCCAGGUUUAAUCCAUCCUAUGUACGUCGUUGGAAUGGUAUUGUGUAUUUGUGUUUAUUUUAAUUUCGUGUAUGUAGCUAGCUUGUAAUCAAGGCAUGCACAACAAGAUUAAUUCAAUUGUUCAUUUCUAUGA